rnacentral:misc_RNA from 1 species
CCGAGUUUACAACUCCCUAACCCACUGUGAACCUACCCAAGUUGCUUCGGCGGGGAGCCCCGGGUGCCGCGAGCCCCGGAGCCAGGCCCCCGCCGAGGGCCCCAAACUCUCUGUAUUUUAUAGCGGUGUCAUUCUGAGUCUAUUGCGGGAAUUGGAUCA